UUCCUACGGGAGGCAGCAGUAGGGAAUUUUCGUCAAUGGGCGCAAGCCUGAACGAGCGAUGCCGCGUGAUCGAAUGAAGGCCUUCGGGUUGUAAAGAUCUGUUGACAGGGACGAAUAAGCAAUGCGAAUAGUUUUGUGUAUGACGGUACCUGUUUAGAAAGCUCCGGCUAACUACGUGCCAGCAGCCGCGGUAAUACGUAGGGAGCAAGCGUUGUCCGGAAUUACUGGGCGUAAAGGGCGCGUAGGUGGGCGCUUAAGUCAGGUGUGAAAACUCCGGGCUCAACCUGGAGACUGCACUUGAAACU
rnacentral:rRNA from 1 species